rnacentral:rRNA from 1 species
GACGAACGCUGGCGGCGUGCUUAACACAUGCAAGUCGAGCGGUAAGGCCCCUUCGGGGGUACGACGAGCGGCGAACGGGUGAGUAACACGUGGGUGACCUGCCCUCAGCUCUGGGAUAAGCCUGGGAAACUGGGUCGUAAUACCGGAUAUGACUCCAUGACGCAUGUCGUGGGGUGGAAAGCCUUGUGCGGCUGGGGAUGGGCCCGCGGCCUAUCAGCUUGUUGGUGGGGUGAUGGCCUACCAAGGCGACGACGGGUAGCCGGUCUGAGAGGACGAUCAGCCACACUGGGACUGAGACACGGCCCAGACUCCUACGGGAGGCAGCAGUGGGGAAUCUUGCGCAAUGGGCGAAAGCCUGACGCAGCGACGCCGCGUGAGGGAUGACGGCCU